rnacentral:misc_RNA from 1 species
ACUAUAGAAUACUCAAGCUAUGCAUCCAACGCGUUGGGAGCUCUCCCAUAUGGUCGACCUGCAGGCGGCCGCGAAUUCACUAGUGAUUUCCGUAGGUGAACCUGCGGAAGGAUCAUUACUGAAAAACUAUUUUAAGUUUUUUAUAUCCCAUUGUUUACUUACCCUGUUGCUUUCACUGGACAGAUUUCACCUUGUGUGGGUCCUUUGGCUUGUGUGAAAUACCACUUGCCAAAGAGUUGCCAGUGGUAAGACCUAUUUAUCAAAACUUGAGUUUCAAUAAACACAACUGUCUGAAUAUUUUUUUUCUUUAAUGAAAUAAAACUUUCAACAACGGAUCUCUAGGCUCUUGCAUCGAUGAAGAACGCAGUGAAAUGCGAUAAGUAAUGUGAAUUGCAGAAUCUCGUGAAUCAUUGAAUCUUUGAACGCACAUUGCGCCCUAUGGUAUUCCAUUGGGCAUGCCUGUCUGAGCGUCAGCUCCCCCUCCACUCAAGAAUUAUUUUAUAUGAUACUUGGAUUACUUUGGAGAUGUAACUGUAUAUUAAGUUGCCCUCCAGAAAUUCAUUGGCAGUAUGGUUUGUACUUGGACCAGACGUAAUAGUAAUAAAAUCGUUUGUUUGGGUAUAAUUGAAUUGUACUUGCCUUAACCCCCACCCAUUUUUAUUUUGGGUGACCUCAGAUCAGGUAGGGAUACCCGCUGAACUUAAGCAUAUCAAUAAGCGGAGGAAAUCGAAUUCCCGCGGCCGCCAUGGCGGCC